rnacentral:lncRNA from 1 species
CCAGGUGCUGUUUGCCCUGAACCAAACCCUGCUGCAGCAGGAGAGUGUGCGGGCCGGGAGCCUGCAGGCCUCCUACACCACGGAGGACCUCAUCAAGCACUACAACUGCGGAGACCUCAGCGCAGUCAUCUUCAACCACGACACAUCCCAGCUGCCCAACUUUAUCAACACCACCCUCCCGCCACACGAGCAGGUGACGGCCCAGGAGAUUGACAGCUACUUCCGCCAGGAGCUCAUCUACAAGAGGAAUGAGCGCAUGGGGAAGAGGGUCAUGGCGCUUCUACGGGAGAACGAGGACAAGAUCUGCUUCUUUGCCUUCGGAGCAGGUCACUUUCUGGGGAACAACACAGUCAUCGACAUCCUGCGGCAGGCAGGGCUGGAGGUGGACCACACACCCGCCGGGCAGGCCAUACACAGCCCUGCCCCCCAGAGCCCAGCGCCCUCUCCUGAGGGGACCUCGACGAGCCCGGCCCCAGUGACCCCAGCUGCCGCUGUCCCCGAAGCACCCUCUGUGACCCCCACCGCCCCACCAGAGGAUGAGGAUCCAGCCCUGUCCCCACACCUCCUGCUCCCCGACAGCCUCAGCCAGCUGGAGGAGUUUGGCCGGCAGAGGAAGUGGCACAAGAGGCAGAGCACACACCAGCGGCCGCGGCAGUUCAAUGACCUCUGGGUCCGCAUCGAGGACAGCACCACCGCCUCACCACCCCCGCUGCCCCUGCAGCCCACCCACAGCUCGGGGACCGCCAAGCCCCCCUUCCAGCUUUCAGACCAGCUACAACAGCAGGACCCGCCAGGGCCCGCCAGCAGCUCGGCACCCACCCUGGGCCUUCUCCCCGCCAUCGCCACCACCAUCGCUGUCUGCUUCCUGCUGCAUAGCCUUGGGCCCUCCUGACCUCGGCCACCCCAAGUGGAGAAGCCAGAGAAAUGACACAGGGGUCUUCGGCCACACCCAACUGCUCCUGCCACCACCUCCAGGGGGUGCCCAACACGUCGAGGGCAGUCCACAUGGGAUUGGCUAGACACUCUAGAGCUUUACUGUACCCAAGUUACAUCUUCUUUUUUGUAGAAGGAUCUUAAUUUCCCAUAGUGCUAUGGGGCUCUUUUGUAAAAUACGUGUCCAUAUUAAAAAAGAAAAAUGUAUUUAUUCUACCGAUAAAA